rnacentral:rRNA from 1 species
CCCUUAGAUGUUCUGGGCGGCCCGCGCACUACAUUGGCACUAGCAAAGAGAUCCUAGAUUGAAUUCUUUGGGGUAUUCUUCUAAAUGGUGUCGUGACUGGGAUAAAUCCUUGUAAUUAUUGGUUUUGAACGAGGAAUUCCUUGUAAUCGCGGUUUAUCAGCUCGCGUUGAAUGCGUCCCUGCCCUUUGUACACACCGCCCGUCGCUCCUACCGAUGGAUCGUCCGGUGAAGCUCACGGAGUGACUGUUCACGCAACGGUUUGCGAAGUGAAAUGGACCUCACGAUUUAGAGGAAGGAGAAGUCGUAACA